AAAAUCUGGCUUAAAGUUUCUGCGUGCGCCUUCCUCCCUCUUGUGAGGAAUAUAUGUUGUUUGAAAAAAAAUGCUGAACGACCCUAGGGCUUGUUAAUGAGAGUAUUAAUUUAGUGCUAGCUUUCAAUAAUUUGGUUCAUGCUCUUUUAAAGUCUUAGAAGUCAUAUUUGAAGUAUAUAUGAGAUUCCAUGUCAGCCAAGAGGAAUUCUGGUGAUAUUGGAUGAUCUUAAGAAAAAAUCAAUCAAUUUUUAGACUAGAUAACAAGAAACAGGAUUUAGAGCUUGUUGGAUAGAUAUGAAAUCAAGGAAGGUUUGAAACUCAGGAUCUAAAUUCGGAUAUUGUUUUUAGAUCCCUUCCAUUUUGAAUCACAUAGGUGCAGUGAUUCAAACUGGAAGGGACAUAUGGAGAAAUUUUUUGCAGUCUUUUCUUUCUUUUCUUAAAUUACUUUCAUGAGAGUAUCUGCACCAAGUUUCAGAAGUCGAUAGUAAUUCUACCUAAUUCAUUUGUUUUUGCCCUGUUUCUAGUUUUGAUUGUGCAGAUAGCAUCUGUUGAUUUGGUUUAGGUGAUUCUGUUGUGGAAGUCUUGUAUAUAUGUGAUAAACAUGGGCAUGAGUUCACGAGACAAUUUUUUCCCCAUAUUUUGGUUCUCAGGUUUGCUCUGAUAUAAACAAGCCAAAUGGGCAGUUUGUUUUACCAAAUAAUCGGAUGGCUGUGAUGACAUUUAUAUCCUCACUUCCUAUACGAAAGAUAGGAGGCAUUGGUAAAGUCACUGAACAUAUUUUAAGGGAUGCUUUGGGAAUUAAUACAUCUGAGGAGAUCGUACAAAAGGGCAGUUAUAUCUGUGCGCUGUUUUCUCAAUCUACAUCAGCCAAAAAAAGGGCGACCCCCUAUUCAAGC